rnacentral:rRNA from 1 species
UGCCUCAGUAACGGCGAGUGAAGCGGCAACAGCUCAAAUUUGAAAUCUGGCCUCUUCGGGGUCCGAGUUGUAAUUUGUAGAGGAUGUUUCGGGUACCGCCUCGGUUUAAAUUUCUUGGAACAGAAUGUCAGAGAGGGUGAGAAUCCCGUCUUGGACCGGCGGUAGGGCCCAUGUGAAACUCCUUCGACGAGUCGAGUUGUUUGGGAAUGCAGCUCAAAAUGGGUGGUAAAUUUCAUCUAAAGCUAAAUAUUGGCCAGAGACCGAUAGCGCACAAGUAGAGUGAUCGAAAGAUGAAAAGAACUUUGAAAAGAGAGUUAAACAGUAUGUGAAAUUGUUGAAAGGGAAGCGCUUACAACCAGACUUGAGCGCGGCGGUUCCCCCUUCCUUUUGGUUGGGUUACUCCGCCGUGUCCAGGCCAACAUCGGUUCUGGGGGUCGGUUAAAGGCCUGGGGAAUGUAUCUACUCCUUCGGGGGUAGACUUAUAGCCCCGGGUGUCAUGCGACCACCCGGGACCGAGGAACGCGCUUCGGCUCGGAUGUUGGCGUAAUGGUUGUCAGCGACCCGUCUUGAAACACGGACCAAGGAGUCUAACAUCUAUGCGAGUGUUUGGGUGUCAAACCCGGAACGCGAAAUGAAAGUGAACGGAGGUAGGAAGCCUUUAGGCUGCACUAUCGACCGAUCCUGAUGUCUUCGGAUGGAUUUGAGUAAGAGCAUAGCUGUUGGGACCCGAAAGAUGGUGAACUAUGCCUGAAUAGGGUGAAGCCAGAGGAAACUCUGGUGGAGGCUCGCAGCGGUUCUGACGUGCAAAUCGAUCGUCAAAUUUGGGUAUAGGGGCGAAAGACUAAUCGAACCAUCUGGUAGCUGGUUCCUGCCGAAGUUUCCCUCAGGAUAGCAGUAACGAAAUCAGUUUUAUGAGGUAAAGCGAAUGAUUAGAGGCCUUGGGGUUGAAACAACCUUAACCUAUUCUCAAACUUUAAAUAUGUAAGAAGCCCUUGUUGCUUAAUUGAACGUGGGCAUUUGAAUGUAUCGUUACUAGUGGGCCAUUUUUGGUAAGCAGAACUGGCGAUGCGGGAUGAACCGAACGUGAGGUUAAGGUGCCGGAAUGCACGCUCAUCAGACACCACAAAAGGUGUCAAUGCAUCUAGACAGCCGGACGGUGGCCAUGGAAGUCGGAAUCCGCUUAGGAGUGUGUAACAACUCACCGGCCGAAUGCAUUGGCCCUGAAAAUGGAUGGCGCUUAAGCGUGCUACCUAUACCUCGCCGUUAGGGUUGACAUGAUGCCCUAACGAGUAGGCAGGCGUGGAGGUCCGUGACGAAGCCUUGGGGGUAACCCCGGGUCGAACGACCUCUAGU